rnacentral:rRNA from 1 species
AUGAGGUCAAGCAUAGAUCGCGGGGGUACUUCGGCAAGCUGUUCAAUGGAGAGGAUGAGAGCUCUAACAUUGAGUUGGAUGACUCCUUUGAAGAUACCAGCAAGUGCUUUGUGCGACAAAUCCAGAAGUCUUAAGGUCAAGGAGGCUUUAAAAAGGAUGAAAAGAGGCAACACGAUGGGCCCUGGUUGUAUCGCCAUUGAGGUGUGGAGAGGCCUCGAAGACAUAGAGAUAGUAUGGCUGAAUAGGCUUUUGAAUCUCAUUUUUUCGGGCAAACAAGAUGCCAAAAGAAUGGAGGUGGAGUAUAUCAAUACCAAUCUUCAAAAACAAGGGGGAUGUUAA